GGCUCAGGAUGAACGCUGGCGGCGUGCUUAACACAUGCAAGUCGAACGAGGAUUUAACGGAAUGCGAUUCGUCAAAUGAAAUUAAAUCCGAGUGGCGGACGGGUGAGUAACGCGUGGAUAACCUGCCUCACACAGGGGGACAACAGCCGGAAACGGCUGCUAAUACCGCAUAACACAAGUAAUUCGCAUGAAUAACUUGCCAAAGAUUUCAUCGGUGUGAGAUGGAUCCGCGUCUGAUUAGCCAGUUGGCGGGGUAACGGCCCACCAAAGCGACGAUCAGUAGCCGACCUGAGAGGGUGACCGGCCACAUUGGGACUGAGACACGGCCCAAACUCCUACGGGAGGCAGCAGUGGGGAAUAUUGCACAAUGGGCGAAAGCCUGAUGCAGCGACGCCGCGUGAAGGAUGAAGUAUUUCGGUAUGUAAACUUCUAUCAGCAGGGAAGAAAAUGACGGUACCUGACUAAGAAGCCCCGGCUAACUACGUG
rnacentral:rRNA from 1 species